GACUUGGUGGCGGAUGGUCCGCGUCCACAACUCCUAAGUGAUCAGACUGAGUGACUGUGGGAGUCGCCUGUUCGAACCAGGCCCGAGUCA